GCAUGCGUGGGAAUCUUGCAGACUAGGUGCAGGCUAGGUGGAUAGGUUGGCAUGCAUUGGUACAGAUUAGGUUGCACUUGUCUUAUCUAGGGGAAGACUUGGUGGUAGUGUUGCAUGCAAAGAUGUGACACGUGUAAGGCAUGCGUGGGAAUCUUGCAGACUAGGUGGUGAAGACAUUUGAUGGAUAGGCAUGCGUGAGGAAGGCUUGGUGGAUGUGUGAGUAUAAGUAUUCACACAAAUUUUCACAAAGGUAUUCACAAAAUCUUCACAAUAUCUUCACAUAUAUCUUCACAAUAUCUUCACAAAAUCUUCACAUAUCAUGGCAUCUUCAUCACAAUACAAAAUCAAAGCUCACGUGAAUGGUGAGACUUAUGAAUGUGAUAUGUCUG
rnacentral:lncRNA from 1 species